AGGAACAAUAAAGCAGAACUGCAGACAGGGUGUUGGGCUUGAGAUUCUCUGAGACUGUUCGGCACCAGCAUCCCUGAAGGGAAUGUACCUAAGAGUAAACUUACUGGGUCAUAUGGCGACUCCGUUUGCCUGCAGAAGAAUGGGACUGUGAUUCCUAGAGAAUGCCUCCAAGACUUGCAGCCUGGGUGACCGCUUCAGUGUCUGUGGAGCCCUCAUGGUCAAGACGCCAUUGUGGAAGUUGUAGCAGGAUGGACCUUAAGUAUCCCCAUUGUCCCAGCCUCCUGAUGUUUACUUCUUUGUCAUAUCUCCUCCCUCUGACCUGGGUGGGGACUGUAACUUGCUUCUGACCAAUUGAAUAUGAAUGGGACGUCACUUUGUUGAUUAUGUUACAUUACAUAGGGCUCUGGUAGACUGGAGACUCUCCUUGUGCCUUGAUGAAGUACACAGCUAUGCUGGAGAAAUCCAUGUGGCAAGGAACUGCAGGUGGCCCCUGGAACCUGAGGACAGUCAGUGAAGAGCUGAGGCUCCAGUUAUGUAGCUGCAAAGAGAUGAAUUCUGUCAACAACUGGGAUGAACUUGGAAGUGGAUUUUUCCCUAGUUGAACCUUUGAUGAGAAUGUGGCCCAGCUAAUGCCUUGAUUGCAGCCUUUGAAACUGAGCAGAGGACCAGCUAAUUCGUGCCCAGACUUCUGACCCACGAAGACUGAGAUAAUAAUAUGUGGUGUUUGUGUAGCUAAGUUUGUGGCAAUUUGUUAUGCAACAUUAAGAACAGUCGAGAAUUUGGUUCCAUUAUAUAAUCUGGGCUGGAUGCCACUGAGU
rnacentral:lncRNA from 1 species